UUUAUAUAGUUCCCACUGUAUUUUUAAUAUAUUUGUACAAAGCACCAUAACACUUUUGGUUUUUUAGGAAAUCACUUAAUUGGCGGCGGGAGGUAUCACUUUCUUCAAUAAUUUCAGUUGCCAACACUAGUCUAUGAAAGGUGAAUCUUGAACAGUUGAAAAAAAUGUGAUUCAUGUCGGCGUUCUCUUCGUUACAAAAAGUGCAAUUAUUGCUGCUUAUUAUGUUCAAUCUCGCAAGGUGUGCAGGUGCAGUGUUAUGACCAAAUCUGAGUCUGUUUAUUGUUGUGAUAAAGUCACGGUUCGCUAUCUUCAGCUCAUUGUACCAUGGAUUUGUCGGAAAAUCCGGCACAAAGUUGGGGACAGCCCAGUCAGAAGAUCAUGAGGUGAAGCUAAUGGACCAUCUGUGAUGAUUGGGUGAGAUCGUGGAUGAGAGAAAUGAAGCUGUCUGAACAACUUCGUCCUCUACGGAACCCAUACUGAACUUGAGGAAUGAUGUUUUGAGAUUCUGCGUACCAAUCCAGGCGGUUCUUUAGCAUAUUUUCAAAUAUCUUACCAAUACAUGAUGAUAAAGAUAUUGGCCGAUAAGAACUGGCCUCCUCUGGUGGUUUAUCUUGUUUAAGUAUGGGUAUCACACAUUGAGUCUUCCAUGAGAUUGGUAUCAGUUUUUUAAGCCAAAGACAAUUUAAAAUACACAGUAAUAUUUUUUGGAUAGAUUCUGGUAGUUCUUUUAUUAAUAUAUACGGAAAAUCGUCCAAACCAGGGCUAGUAUUUUUUCUAGAUUUUAUACUUGUUAAAAAUUCUGACCAUGAGAAAG